rnacentral:rRNA from 1 species
AGCGAACGCUGGCGGCAGGCCUAACACAUGCAAGUCGAACGAACCCUUCGGGGUUAGUGGCGGACGGGUGAGUAACACGUGGGAACGUGCCUUUAGGUACGGAACAGCCUCGGGAAACUGAGAGUAAUACCGUAUGUGCCCCUCGGGGGAAAGAUUUAUCGCCUUUGGAUCGGCCCGCGUUGGAUUAGGUAGUUGGUGGGGUAAUAGCCUACCAAGCCGACGAUCCAUAGCUGGUUUGAGAGGAUGAUCAGCAACACUGGGACUGAGACACGGCCCAGACUCCUACGGGAGGCAGCAGUGGGGAAUCUUAGACAAUGGGGGAAACCCUGAUCUAGCCAUGCCGCGUGGACGAUGAAGGCCUUAGGGUUGUAAAGUCCUUUCAGCUGGGAAGAUAAUGACGGUACCAGCAGAAGAAGCCCCGGCUAACUCCGUGCCAGCCGCCGCCGUAAAAC